AUUGAACGCUGGCGGCAGGCCUAACACAUGCAAGUCGAGCGGAUGAGAAGAGCUUGCUCUUCGAUUCAGCGGCGGACGGGUGAGUAAUGCCUAGGAAUCUGCCUAUUAGUGGGGGACAACGUUUCGAAAGGAACGCUAAUACCGCAUACGUCCUACGGGAGAAAGCAGGGGACCUUCGGGCCUUGCGCUAAUAGAUGAGCCUAGGUCGGAUUAGCUAGUUGGUGAGGUAAUGGCUCACCAAGGCUACGAUCCGUAACUGGUCUGAGAGGAUGAUCAGUCACACUGGAACUGAGACACGGUCCAGACUCCUACGGGAGGCAGCAGUGGGGAAUAUUGGACAAUGGGCGAAAGCCUGAUCCAGCCAUGCCGCGUGUGUGAAGAAGGUCUUCGGAUUGUAAAGCACUUUAAGUUGGGAGGAAGGGCAGUAACCUAAUACGUUAUUGUUUUGACGUUACCGACAGAAUAAGCACCGGCUAACUCUGUGCCAGC
rnacentral:rRNA from 1 species